UAACAAAGAGCCAGAGAAAUCCGGAUCAUAGACAUGAGAGAAGGAUCUGAAAAUUCUGAGAUCAGCUAAUUUUGUAUUGGAUCUGUGUGUUGCACCUGGUAGUUAGGUGCAACAUGCAAGUAGGAUACCACUAUACAGAGGAAAAUAGACUAGACGAUGAUAGAACUACCAAGCAGUUGUCUACACAAGCAUUUGAUAGUUUUUAUCAUCGUCCUGUCGAUUUUUCUUUACCGCUACUUACAUUCGACCGGCCGACUAACUUGCUGAUUAGGGACUCUUGUUGUGACCAAGUUUACUCUAUCUGCCAGCUAUAAGGAAAAAUGUUAGUGCUUCAACUGAUAAGGAGGUUCAUCACAUAAAGGGACGAAGAGAAAGAGUUUGUGAAUAUUAAUAAAGCAAACGACACUUGGAUUUUUGCUGCAUUUUUUGGUACAUAUAUACUGGGAUCAUGUUCGCCGCUCCUGUAUAUAAUCUAUCUACACAUCAUUUUGCACGUCUACUACAGUGUUUUUUUCAAGGCUUUUUGUGAUGGUCGAAACUGAUUCAACCUUUAUUACUUGCGUUUUUAUAUAAUUUACCUCUGAAGGGGGUAAAACUAGACUUUAUG